GAGGUGUGUUAGUGCUGCAAGACUGAUCAUCUACCUCCUUCAGAUUUUAGUGAAUCCUCCAGCAACACAUAAGCAAUGAAGCAUCAUCUUUUUGUGCUCCUGCUUUUCACAGGUGUCCUUACCCUUGUCCUGUCUUUCUCUCAUAAGUACUAUCUGAUCCAGCAGAGCAAAACAUGGAACGAUGCUAAGGCUUUCUGCCGAGCCACAUACACUGACCUGGCUAUCAUCAAAACUAAUGAAGAGAUGGCCCAACUUCAGAACGUAUCACAGACACAACAAUUCAAAUCCAAUGCUUGGAUUGGACUGUACACUAACAUCAACAAGUGGCAAUGGACAUUGGACAAUGAGCCGCUUGGAAGCUUUACACCUUGGUCUAAUGGGGAGCCUAAUAACAUGCUAGGAAAUGAACGUUGUGU